rnacentral:lncRNA from 10 species
AUGCUCUGAAUCAGCCUCCAAUACAUGAUACUGUUUCUCCCAUAGCCAGGAUUUACAGGUCCAGUAAUCGAGGGGUGGAAGUGGAAGCGGCACCACUCACUAUCACCCCUAGUGAUCUACUAGCAAAAUUUUUGCUUCCUGUUCCCAUGACAUUACAUUCUGCUGGCUUAGAGGUCUUAGUUCCAGAAGGAGGAGUGCUGCCACCAGGAGACACAACAACAAUGCCAUAAAACUAGAAGUUAAGAUUGCCAUCUGGACACUUUGGGCUCCUCCUACCUUUAAGUCAACAGGCUAAGAAGAGUGUUACAGUGUUGGCUGGGGUGACUGGCCCAGACUAUCAAGAUGAAAUCAGUCUACUACUCCACAAUGGAGUUGCUGAAUGAUAAGCAAUAAUGGAAGGAAACUAUGAAAAUCACACUAGAGUGUCAAUGAAAAUCAUCUACAGUUGAUGGUAUCUAAAAGCGAUAUGACACUUCUGAAAUGGCCUUGUGACAUCAUCUCUGAAUAGAGAAGUUGAAUGAAAUAAGUUUGCAAGCACAUUCU